AUUCACGACAAUGUAUGGGAACCAGAGCUGGGAACCAGUCUAGAAGGCAAAGAAAAUUCCGCCAAGUAAACAACAAAGAAAGGGAUUUGGGAUGUUGUCAGUUGUAUACAUUAUGUGGGCCGGUGACUGCAAGAAGCAAGGAAUGUGGAGCUAAUGCAUGCUGCUAAGGAUGGAAAGUUCUUUGUUUAUUGGUUGUUCCUGAGACACCAGUCACAGUUGUACCUUAUUUCCAUUUUAGAAGCAAGGAAUGUGGAGCUAAUGCAUGCUGCUAUGGAUGGAAAGGUCUUGUGUAUAUUGGUUGUGCCUGAGACACCAGUCACAGUUGUACUUUAUUUCCAUUUUAGGGAGUCUAUUUACACUUGAGAGGUGAGCGUCAGAUUUAAUUUUGAAGAUUGAUGACCUUCAGAUGUUGUGAUGAAGAUUGUUGAAAGAGAUUAUCA